rnacentral:ribozyme from 1 species
GAAAAAGCAGUAUGGUAAUUCGAAAUAGCCAUCGAAGUAGCAUCUUCUUUUCCAUGUUUUAUUCUAUUUUGUAUUUCUUUUUUAUUUCUGUAUUUUCUUAAAUGUGUGUACUGUCUAA